CUCUCUCUCUCUCUCUCGUUGUCUCUCUCUUGCUCUUUCUCAUGCGCACUCUCCCCCUGCCACUGUUUUAGACACGCAUUGCCUCUAUUCAGCUUCUAUUCUAGAAUAACUUUGCGAUAGUCUUGAAGUGGCAGCUGAAAGUCAAGGCAAAACAUCAAAGGAGCUUCCUUUGCAACAAUUUCAGAAUAUUUGACCAACAUUGUAAUUCAUACACCAUUCUCCUAUGGCAGUCCCUCCACAUAUCCUGUACCCCCCUCCUCCAAUUCUGGAUUUCCUCACUUGUUCAGAUUCAAAAGACGGACUCACCAAUAAGAUUGCAGUUAGAAUUUUAUCUGCACUGAUUUCUGGAUUAGAUCUGGCUGAGAACUGAAGAAGCAGAGAGACACUGCAGGGUGAAGGCAGAAUGUUAAAUAUCCUAUUCAGGCUGAACACCUGAAUAAGUCUAAUAA